rnacentral:lncRNA from 12 species
CGUUGCUUCCCUACUUCUCCAGCCUUUGGACUUGAACUGGAACGGAACCAUCUGCUCUCCUGGGCCUCUGGCUUGCAGCCGGCAGAUACUGGGAUUUCUCAGCUUCCAUAGUGGCAAGAGCCAGUUCUUCAUAAUCUCUCUCUUUUUUUUUUUUUUAUUUUAAAGAUUUUAUUUAUUUAUUUAUUUAUUUAUUUAUUUAUUUAUUCAUGAGAGAGAGAGAGAGAGAGGCAGAGACACAGACAGAGGGAGAAGCAGGCUCCAUGCAAAGAGCCCAAUGUGGGAUUCGAUCCAGGGACUCCAGGAUCAUGCCCCAGGCCGAAGGCAGGUGCUAAACCUCUGAGCCACCCAGGGAUCCCCAUAAUCUCUUUCUGUAAAUCCCUGUACAUCCUAGUGGCUCUGUCUCUGCUGAGAACCCCCACCUAAUGUGCUGGGUCCUGUUCUCUCUUCUCCCUCCAAAGCAGGUUGAGACGGUCUACCCCCCUUGGCACAGAAUCAGACAAUUCUCUUCUUUAAAUAACUGCUUCCCCCCCCACCCCAGAUUUUUUUUUUUUUUUGUCCUGAGAGAUUUCCAGGGUUUUCAAGGACUCGUGAAGCUUGAGGAGACUUCUGCUAUAUCAGCGGCCUGGGGAAUUCUGUGGUCCCUCUGCUGUGGGUGAGCAAAUCUUGGAUCCAGGCCUCUUUUGGGAAGUGGGUGGUUUGAGUUUUCUUUGGACUUGGAACUGGGCAGAGACCCCCAGGUACCCCCGGAGGCCGGGGCAGGAGGGUGCAAUGAGAUCAUGUCUGCAGAGGCCCGCAGCCCCUUGGAAGGAGAUCCCUCUGUAAUUUCUUGGAAAAGGCUUCUCCUUCCAACGAUGUCUGCUCACACCCUCUCGGCUUUCCUUGUCUGGCUGCCGCCACAAAUAGCAGGCUGCGUACUCUUGCCAAGUUUCCAUUUGCUUGCCCUCUGCUCUUCUCAUGGUUGGGUUUCUCCCCUCGGGACCAGGUGUGUGUCUGAACACAUGAGCCAGGGGUUAAAAUUGUGUGGUCUCCCCCGGUUACUUAAUCCUUCAGAUAACUCGAGUAAAGGGUGUCUGGGGAUUUGGGGGACUUGUUUCUUUUUUUUUUUUUUUUUCAUUUUUAUGCAUUCCCUCACUCGAUCUGGAUAUAGGAUCCUGGGGAGGCGGGGAAAAGGGUUUGAUGGAAAAUCCCUUUGCAUCUUUCACGUUGGAUCCUCUCGCCUGCAAGACGGUUGGUGCUGUCGGCUUUCCAAUUUCCCACGCACACGUGAAGAUGCUCAAGUGCAAGUUGCCACCCGAAGGAGGCUCCUGGGGCAGAGGGAGUGCGAGCUCUCAAGCGGGUGGAGGGCCAGGCCCUGCCACUGA